GACGGAAGGUGCAAGCGUUGCUCGGAAUCACUGGGCGUAAAGGGUGCGUAGGCGGCCGUGCAAGUCUGGCGUGAAAGCCCCGGGCUCAGCCCGGGAAGUGCGCUCGAAACUGCGCGGCUCGAGUGCCGGAGGGGAGAGUGGAAUUCCUGGUGUAGCGGUGAAAUGCGUAGAUAUCAGGAGGAAUACCGGUGGCGAAGGCAGCUCGCUGGGACGUUACUGACGCUGAGACGCGAAAGCGUGGGGAGCAAACAGG
rnacentral:rRNA from 1 species